CAAACGACUCUCGACAACGGAUAUCUCGGCUCACGCAUCGAUGAAGAACGUAGCAAAAUGCGAUACUUGGUGUGAAUUGCAGAAUCCCGUGAACCAUCGAGUUUUUGAACGCAAGUUGCGCCCAAAGCCUUUUGGCCAAGGGCACGUCUGCCUGGGCGUCACAC
rnacentral:rRNA from 2 species